rnacentral:tRNA from 4 species
GCCGCGGUAGCUCAGCUGGCAGAGCGCUCGGCUGUUAACCGAGCGGUCGACGGUUCGAGUCCGUCCCGCGGCG